rnacentral:rRNA from 1 species
GAUGAACGCUGGCGGCGUGCCUAAUACAUGCAAGUCGAGCGAACGGACGAUAAGCUUGCUUCUCUGAUGUUAGCGGCGGACGGGUGAGUAACACGUGGAUAACCUACCUAUAAGACUGGGAUAACUUCGGGAAACCGGAGCUAAUACCGGAUAAUAUUUUGAACCGCAUGGUUCAAAAGUGAAAGACGGUCUUGCUGUCACUUAUAGAUGGAUCCGCGCUGCAUUAGCUAGUUGGUAAGGUAACGGCCUACCAAGGCAACGAUGCAUAGCCGACCUGAGAGGGUGAUCCGCCACACUGGAACUGAGACACGGUCCAGACUCCUACGGGAGGCAGCAGUAGGGAAUCUUCCGCAAUGGGCGAAAGCCUGACGGAGCAAAGCCGCGUGAGUGAUGAAGGUCUUCGGAUCGUAAAACUCUGUUAUUAGGGAAGAACAUAUGUGUAAGUAACUGUGCACAUCUUGACGGUACCUAAUCAGAAAGCCACGGCUAACUACGUG